ACCUGUGGAAAAGAUAACAUUCUAUGUUAUAGGUGAGGAAAUUUGGAAGUCAAGGAUCUCACCAAAGAUCACACUAGUAGUAGUACAUGAUAAUACUCAAGACUUAAAUCCAGUAUCUGCACUGGGAGGAAGUGGGAAUGGAUAGAGGAUCUGGACUCAAGGCCAGGCAGCAUUCUGGAACAUAAAACAAGACCAUCAUACUGGGCACUUGAUCCCUCAUCUGGAUUCCUGAGAGAAAUUCACUGGACUUGGGUUUAAGCGUUUGGUCUACCCACUGGAAUACAGAGAA